rnacentral:rRNA from 1 species
AUUGAACGCUGGCGGCAUGCCUUACACAUGCAAGUCGAACGGCAGCACGGGAGCAAUCCUGGUGGCGAGUGGCGAACGGGUGAGUAAUAUAUCGGAACGUGCCCAGUCGUGGGGGAUAACGUAGCGAAAGCUACGCUAAUACCGCAUACGAUCUACGGAUGAAAGCGGGGGAUCGCAAGACCUCGCGCGAGUGGAGCGGCCGAUAUCAGAUUAGGUAGUUGGUGAGGUAAAGGCUCACCAAGCCGACGAUCUGUAGCUGGUCUGAGAGGACGACCAGCCACACUGGGGCUGAGACACGGCCCAGACUCCUACGGGAGGCAGCAGUGGGGAAUUUUGGACAAUGGGCGCAAGCCUGAUCCAGCAAUGCCGCGUGCAGGAUGAAGGCCUUCGGGUUGUAAACUGCUUUUGUACGGAACGAAACGGCGAGCUCUAAUACAGUUUGCUAAUGACGGUACCGUAAGAAUAAGCACCGGCUAACUACGUGCCAGCCGCCGCAGUAA